rnacentral:lncRNA from 1 species
GUUAGUGGUGCGACAUUUAGGGAAGGCAGAAAGUAGGUCAGGGACGGAGGUGCCUGUUUACCCGCGCCGGACUCACCGCCGCCACCGCCGCGGGACCCGAGUGCGGGCGCGGGCGCGGGCGCUCCCGGCGAGCUCGACGUUGCUCCAGUUCAGCCUGCAUGGCUCAGCCAGCGCCGGUGUGACACAAGCCUCCAGACCUAACUCGUUCCCCUGGGUGCCGUUGGAGCUGUCUGCAGAGCUCCUCGCAGGAGGAGACCUUCAGAAGUUCUGCCUUCAUCGCCUCUCUAGCUCCUUACCCCCAAGACCAACGUCCUCAAGACUGAGAAGAUAAUAAUCACAGGCUAUACUGACUGAGUUACCCUGUGACUGGAAGCGGGGAAAGGGACUCUUUUUGCUCCCUCAUGCUUAGACCACCGAAGAAGGUCAACUUCCACACACAGUGUAGCAGCUUUGCCUUCUGGAACACCUCCUCUGGGCCUCCCUUGGCUGACCCUAUUCCACCUCAUCAACCCUGCCUCUGAAGCUCCAGCGGCUUGUCUCUCCUCAGCCUCCCUAGACCACCCGUCCUAGUGUUUCUUGCUGUGUAUCUUGGCUCAUGCUGUUCCCCACUGGAAAGGCCUCUCUUCCUUCUCUCUGCCUCCCUUGAAUCUCACCUCUUUGUGAAGCCUGCUCUGAUGACAUUUGCUCCCAGUUUUCUUCCCUCCCUCCUGCCCCUCCCUCCCCUUUUGAUUGCCAGCCAUUCAGUCAGGAGAAGAAUCAGUGAUAUUCUAUACUCAGCAGCUUACCGUAUUGCACUGUCCUCUGUUUUCAGUUGUUUUGCGAUGAACCACCUUGUCCCAGUCCUCACUGCCCAGCUCUGCUCAUCACUUGGUCAUUGAGGCUGACUGGAUGCCCACUGUGUGCACAGCACUGCGCUGGGCACAUAUUGUACAGGAGUGAACAAAAUAGGCCCAGGAGGAGGAGACAGACAAUAAGCCAUGAACUAGGUUAACUGCUGGUAGGGACAGGUACCAGGAAAGAAAUCAGACAGAGUCAAAUAAUAGUGAUGAUGAAUGGUGGCAAGGAAGGUACUUUAUAACCAGGUCAUCAGGGAAGACCUCUCAGAGGAGGUGACAUUUAAGCUCAGAUUUGGAAAGAUGUGGGGGAAAGUAUUCCUGGAAGAAGGACCAGCGAGUGCAGAGGCCCUGAAGUUGGAAGUGGCCCGAUGUUCCUGAGGAAAGGGAGGCCAGAGUAACUGGAUUACGAGUUUCUUGUGUAUAGGUGUUUUCUUCCUCCUUUUUCCUCCCCAUAACCCUAACCUUACUGUUAGAAAGGCUCUGAAAAUACUUACAGGAUUAGAGCAUUUGCCCUUGGUUAUAUCUUGUAUAACUAACGGUUUACUGUACUCUGCUCAAAAGGCCUUUAAUAAAACAUAAUGCAUUGAUUAUAUGCAGUGUUGCAUAUAAACAGAUUAAGGGUUUGAAGAGUUUCCUCAUAAAUGUACUCCUGGCAUGUAUCACAAACUAUUUCUGCUUUAAUUAUGUCAGUACAGAGCUUCAGACCUCUGAAUUCUCUUUUACAUAUUAGACCAUCUGAAAAACAGUUUUUGUUCUAAAAGUUUAUUUGUAAGGUAGUUGAUGGAAACUUGGCAUAAAGUUUUAUGUAUGAAAAAAACUGAACUAAAUAGUGGUUUAGUUCCCAGGUGAGCC